AAUAUUGGUCAAUGGGCGGCAGCCUGAACCAGCCAUGACGCGUGCGGGAUGAAGGCCCUCUGGGUCGUAAACCGCUUUUACACGGGAACAACCGCAGCUUCGAGUAGCUGCCCGAGGGUACCGUGGGAAUAAGGAUCGGCUAAAUCAGUGCCUGCAUCCGCUGUAAUACGGAGGAUCCACGCGUUAUCCGGAAUCAUUGGGUUUAAAGGGUCCGUAGGCGGCUUUAUAAGUCAGCGGUGAAAGUUUUUGGCUUAACCAAAAAAUUGCCGUUGAGACUGUAGGGCUUGAAUUUUUGUGAAGUAACUAGAAUAUGUAGUGUAGCGGUGAAAUGCUUAGAUAUUACAUGGAAUACCAAUUGCGAAGGCAGGUUACUAACAAACGAUUGACGCUGAUGGACGAAAGCGUGGGUAGCGAACA
rnacentral:rRNA from 1 species